ACGGCUGUAGCUCAGUGGAACAGAGCGCGACUCUGCGGAGGUCGAGGCCGGGUGUUCGAAUCACCUCAGCCGUACCA
rnacentral:tRNA from 1 species